rnacentral:rRNA from 1 species
UACGUAGGGGGGCAAGCGUUGUCCGGAUUUAUUGGGCGUAAAGAGCGUGUAGGCGGCCAAGCAGGUCCGCUGUGAAAACUCGAGGCUCAACCUCGAGACGCCGAUGGAAACCAUCUGACUAGAGUCCGGAAGAGGAGAGUGGAAAUUCCUGGUGUAGCGGGUGAAAUGCGGCAGAUAUCAGGAAGAACACCCGUGGCUAAGGCGGCUCUCUAGUACGGUACUGACGCUGAGACGCGAAAGCGUGGGGAGCGAACAGG